rnacentral:sRNA from 1 species
UGACUCUCAAAUAGUCCUGGCGUGGUU